GAUCACUGUGCGUGCGUAGACGGAUCGGUCUCCUGCACUGCACCCCGCCCGCGCCGCCGGCCGUCACCCUCGUCCCCUCCCGCGUCGUCUUCCUUCCACGGCGCCCCUGCUAUCUCCGCCAACGUCCACGCCCGGUCGGCCCGCUCCCGAACCGAACGGCCUCACCGUGAGCUCCGUGCUCACGUCGUUGUGCACGCUACGAGCCGUCCAUCAAGCACGCUGGCCAGCUGCAUGAGUUCUUGGUGAGACCUGGGCUCGGCUCCUCCCUCGCACGUGGACGCUGCCUUGCUUCAUUCAUUUUGAUGGAAAUUCUGUCUGGGUUGGGGGGUGCGAGGAGGGUGCUCGACGAAAUGGCUACGAGGAACUUGGUGGCUGGAGACGCUAUGGUAGCAUGUUUGUGCCAGGGCAGGGGAUGUGGAGGCUGUGUCAUGUGCUGAAUUCCUUGGUUGACACGGUUGCCAAGCCUCAUUAAGGUUUAAAACAAAUGAGUGAAAUAGAAGGGGAAGAAUGGCGGAAAACAAUGAUUAUUUAUGGCAUGCAUAUGUUACUCCUUAAACCCUAAACCCAGAGUCGCAUACAAAACUGAUGCCAUGUGGGGCUGCCACUACCAGCACUGGCCCAAGUCAUGGAGGGGACGGCAACAUCAUAGGCUUAGGGACAAGACUCCCUUUUUAUGAAUUAAGGAGCAGAGCUCCCAAUUUCCACGGGUUCAGUCUGAAAUUGAAAACAUAUAGCAACCUUAUUACACUGCAACACGCAGCUGCAGCCGGAAACUUAUCCAAACACUGCAGCUCCUACAACUGACAAGAUUCUGAACAUAGCGACUCAGCACCACAGACAAAACUAGAGGAUGUUAUGGUAGCAUGUUAUUUCGCAGUUUACAGGAAAUUGAUAACACAGCGUGCAGCCCCCCACGGGUU